UACGAAGGGGGCGAGCGUUGUUCGGAAUUACUGGGCGUAAAGGGCGCGUAGGCGGCGACUCAAGUUAGAUGUGAAAAGUCCUGGGCUUAACCUGGGGGACUGCAUUUGAUACUGGGUUGCUUGAAUUCGGGAGAGGAUAGCGGAAUUCCCAGUGUAGAGGUGAAAUUCGUAGAUAUUGGGAAGAACACCGGUGGCGAAGGCGGCUAUCUGGACCGACAUUGACGCUGAGGCGCGAAACGUGGGGAGCAAACAGGG
rnacentral:rRNA from 1 species